rnacentral:misc_RNA from 1 species
GUCUUGUGAUUCAUCACCACACGGCAAGUCUUACUGAGAGGUUCCACGGCGAGAAGAGUUUCCAACUCAUCAUGUGAUUACUCGCCACAUAAAGGCACAACCGUGUACCAGAUAACUCCGUCAGAGUGACCAAUUGCUUCGAGAGAAGAGUAAUGAAUCCAUGCUUAUGUCAACCAACCUCUUGAGAGCUAGACCACUGUUGUUCUCUACACGCAACACCAUCAUUUUAGUCCCUCUUAAGCA